rnacentral:ncRNA from 1 species
ACCGCCCGUUGCUGCUACCGUUUAAAUGAUUUAGUGAGGUUUUCGGACUGGCUCUCGAAGCGGCUUUCGGGUCCCUUCGGCGUUCCGGAAAGAUGACCAAACUUGAUCAUUUAGAGGAUGUAAAAGUCGUAACAAGGUUUCCGUAGGUUAACCUGCGGAAG